GUGUUUUUCACAGGCUCACUUUAUCAUUCCGAGAAAGGCACAUUAGGUUUGGGCCUCUGCUGGGAAGUAAAGGAGCAGAAUAAACUCUGAGAAGACUGAAGUGCAUUGGGAGAAUGUGUCCCUGUCUGAUCCAGGGCACAGGAAUCUUGACAUUUGCUCUGAAGUUUUUCUUGUCCCAAAGCCCUGUAGAGGGCGCCAUGCAGCAGCCGUGAAUAUGGACCAUAAGUUCCUUCCUGGGAGUAGAAAAAGGCAGAAGAGGAGGGUUUUCUCUUUGCACACUUGCCAGAACCUGUUACUUCCCCCCAAAUGUCUUGGGGUGCGCUGUUGAGAAGGUGCAGCAGCCUUGGGGACAGACCAGCAGCCUGAGAGCUCCUUUAUCCUUUAGAGUCGAGACCUUCACUCAGGUAGAAUUUCAAGGUCCUGAGUUCAAUUCCCAGCAACCACAUCGUGGCUCACAACCAUCUGUUAUGAGAUCUGAUGUCCUCUUCUGGUGUGCAGAUAUACAUGGAAGCAGAAUGUUGUAUACAUAAUAAGUAAAAUCUUUAAAAAAAAAGACAUUAAAAAAAAAACAGGGCUUAAUAGAAAGAGGCGCUUGGAGAAAGAGUGGG
rnacentral:lncRNA from 1 species